GCAGGUCACAAAUUUGAUCCACGCUGCACGUCAUGUGCCUUGCCCUUGGUGUCGUGUAACUCUGGUGUAAUCAAGUCGUCGUUUUGAAAAGGCUGAGAAGUCAAGAUGUCUAUUACCAUUUCCCAGUAUCUCUUGAAUCAAAUUUUAUUUUCAGAAUGGAGUUUUUAAAACUUGUAAAGAGAAAAUCCAUGAGCUGGGAAAGAUAUUGUUAAAAAGGUUUGAUAAUUGUCUGAAAUCAAUGAAAUGUGAUAUGAUGAUAUUAUGAAAAAUUCAAUUAUGUGUUAUGAAAGCAGAACAUGACUUGUUAUGUCCCGAAAGCAAGACAUCAUCCUUCAACACAUGAAUGAAAUGAUUUUUUAAUCUGACCAAAUUAAGCCAUUACAUGUGAACGAGGCUCAGGAGUC